rnacentral:rRNA from 1 species
GACGAACGCUGGCGGCGUGCUUAACACAUGCAAGUCGAACGAUGAACCCGGAGCUUGCUCCGGUGGAUUAGUGGCGAACGGGUGAGUAACACGUGAGUAACCUGCCCUUGACUCUGGGAUAACUGCGGGAAACUGUAGCUAAUACCGGAUACGACCCUCGGCGGCAUCGCCAGGGGGUGGAAAGAAUUUCGGUCAAGGAUGGACUCGCGGCCUAUCAGCGAGUUGGUGGGGUAACGGCUCACCAAGGCGACGACGGGUAGCCGGGCUGAGAGGGUGACCGGCCACACUGGGACUGAGACACGGCCCAGACUCCUACGGGAGGCAGCAGUGGUGAAUAUUGCACAAUGGGCGAAAGCCUGAUGGAGCAACGCCGCGUGCAGGAUGAAUGCCUUCGGGUUGUAAACUGCUUUUAUCUGUGACGAAUAUGACGGUAGCAGAUGAAUAAGGAUCGGCUAACUCCGUGCCAGCCGCCGCCGUAA